rnacentral:rRNA from 1 species
UGAGGGAUCAGUGGCGAACGGGUGAGUAACACGUGAGUAACCUGCCCCAGACUCUGGAAUAAGCGCUGGAAACGGCGUCUAAUACCGGAUACGAGACAGAGAGGCAUCUCUACUGUCUGGAAAGUUUUUCGGUCUGGGAUGGACUCGCGGCCUAUCAGCUUGUUGGUGAGGUAACGGCUCACCAAGGCGACGACGGGUAGCCGGCCUGAGAGGGCGACCGGCCACACUGGGACUGAGACACGGCCCAGACUCCUACGGGAGGCAGCAGUGGGGAAUAUUGCACAAUGGGCGAAAGCCUGAUGCAGCGACGCCGCGUGAGGGAUGACGGCCUUCGGGUUGUAAACCUCUUUCAGCAGGGAAGAAGCGAAAGUGACGGUACCUGCAGAAGAAGCACCGGCUAACUACGUGCCAGCAGCCGCGGUAAUACGUAGGGUGCGAGCGUUGUCCGGAAUUAUUGGGCGUAAAGAGCUUGUAGGCGGUUUGUCGCGUCUGCUGUGAAAAUCCGGGGCUCAACCCCGGACUUGCAGUGGGUACGGGCAGACUAGAGUAUGGUAGGGGAGACUGGAAUUCCUGGUGUAGCGGUGAAAUGCGCAGAUAUCAGGAGGAACACCGAUGGCGAAGGCAGGUCUCUGGGCCACUACUGACGCUGAGAAGCGAAAGCAUGGGGAGCGAACAGGAUUAGAUACCCUGGUAGUCCAUGCCGUAAACGUUGGGCGCUAGGUGUGGGACUCAUUCCACGAGUUCCGUGCCGCAGCUAACGCAUUAAGCGCCCCGCCUGGGGAGUACGGCCGCAAGGCUAAAACUCA